rnacentral:rRNA from 1 species
GACGAACGCUGGCGGCGUGCUUAACACAUGCAAGUCGAACGGUGACCUCGAGAGCUUGCUCUUGGGUGAACAGUGGCGAACGGGUGAGUAACACGUGAGUAACCUGCCCCUGACUCUGGAAUAAGCGCUGGAAACGGCGUCUAAUACCGGAUAUGACACACCCUCGCAUGGGGAGUGUGUGGAAAGUUUUUCGGUCUGGGAUGGACUCGCGGCCUAUCAGCUUGUUGGUGAGGUAAUGGCUCACCAAGGCGAUGACGGGUAGCCGGCCUGAGAGGGCGACCGGCCACACUGGGACUGAGACACGGCCCAGACUCCUACGGGAGGCAGCAGUGGGGAAUAUUGCACAAUGGGCGCAAGCCUGAUGCAGCGACGCCGCGUGAGGGAUGACGGCCUUCGGGUUGUAAACCUCUUUCAGCAGGGAAGAAGCGCAAGUGACGGUACCUGCAGAAGAAGCACCGGCUAACUACGUGCCAGCCGCCGCGGUAACAC